rnacentral:lncRNA from 1 species
AGAAGGUUCCCCAAGGAGAUGGGGCAGAAGAAAGACUAAAAGAAAUUGGAAUGAAUGAUACCAUACACAGUAAAUAAAUUAAAAGGUGUAAAGACUGACAAAAAGCAGGAGGAUACUAAGCACAGAGUCAUUUUGAAAAAACUGGGAGAUAGGGGGUACCUCAGGAAAAGUAUUUCAAUCCCUCUUGCAAACAAGAUGCCAUAGCCUAGAACAACUUGACGGAGGGAAGUCCAGGACGGUGUCCUUGUUAUUAAAAACACGAAAAUUGCAGGCAUUGUGUUUCCUGUUUGCACGGCAGCGUGGUACACGUGGGCAGACCCUGAACACACACUGGCAUCAAAAGGCUCUACAUCUUCCUGAAUCCCUGCCUGCAGACCAGAGGCUUCGGGCAGGGAAACGACUGUCCCUGUCCAUAUGUGAACGCUGCUCCCGGCUCUGCUGGUCCGAGGAGUCCUGGAAGCCCCAGUGGCACCUGGAAGAGGGUCUGUGCACACCCACCCCGGGGCGUGCUUUGCUGGGCUCCUGAGGCGCUGCCUCGAGAUGCGUUUCCUUGCCCGGCUCCCCGCACGUAGGCGCACAGCAGGUGCGCCAGAGUUCAGCAGAAACUUGGGAAGAAGACAGCUCUCCCGAGGCGUGGAAAGCACUUCGCUCGCGGUGCGGGCUCGCUGACAGCUCUCGCCUGCCGGAGCCGAGCUGCAUCUGCUGCACCGACCCUGCGAGAAGGUUUCUGAACGGGCUGAACCUACCCGAGAUGGACGGCGCGACCGGGGCGAACCCGUCAGCCGGGAGGGCGCCUUCACCGUUUCGGAAGGUCCCUGCCUGCCUCCCCGCCUCCCCGCGCCCAGCCCGGCGCUGAAGGGCUCGGGGCAGCCCCUCCGCAAGGCAGCCCCGGCUCCGUGCGGCGGCUGGCACGGGAGCUUGCCCCGGGAGAGGCGUGCCCCCGGCGGCAGGCGGCGCUCGGAGGGGCGCCGAGCCCAUCCCCAGCCGGCGGGGCUCGCCAUGGAGCGGGGAGCGCCCGGCGGCCAGGAGGCAGCGCCUGAGAUGACAACAUUUAUCCAGCACCAGAAGAGGUGAUACCAACUGACAGUCUUUGACCCUUGUGCUGGCUUCUCUUUUGCAAUAUGACUCUUCUUUAUGUAUAUGUACCUUAGAAUGAAUGCGUGAGCACUGUCUGAAAGGAAAAGCACAGCCCUUUUGUUACAUGAGGACUGUCAAGGUAUGUUCUUCCCAAAUCCAGGAAUAAUAUAUUCUGUUUUCAGCUUAGAUGCAUAUAUAUUGUCAUAAACACACAUAUACAUAUUUCCACCUGCUUCCUGUGACAAGUACCUGUGUAGAGACUCGAAUAGACACUCAAUCAAGCUAUGCACAUCAGAAAUUUGAAUGCAUAGGCUGAGUACAAGCAAAACCAGUAUCUGCAGCAAUUACAUUUAACAGAAGAAUUAAAAGGGGAUAUACCUCCUAACAGAAAUUCUAGGAACAUGUUCUACUUCAAUAAAACAAGAAGCAUUUAGUAAUAAAUAUACCAGCCUAUUGUGAGUCUUACAAAAAAACUUCCUCAAGCACAGCACUCAGUUUUAAUUACAGAAUAUUUUAGGUUUAUGUGCACUACAAAAAUGUAGAAAUCAAUUGAUUUUUAGUAGUAUUUUUGCUAUUUCAGUCAGUAUCUUUUCUGAGAGAUCACUUGAUACUUAGUGCUGACUUCUGAUGUCAGAGUGGUAUACUUUAAAAAGUUAUAAAUUUGAAGGAUCUUUUGUUAUGGAAAUGGA